rnacentral:rRNA from 1 species
GAUGAGCGCUAGCUACAGGCUUAACACAUGCAAGUCGAGGGGAAACGGCAUUGAGUGCUUGCACUCUUUGGACGUCGACCGGCGCACGGGUGAGUAACGCGUAUCCAACCUUCCCAUUACUGUGGGAUGACCUGCCGACAGGCAGACUAAUACCGCAUAGUCUUCGAUGACGGCAUCAGAUUUGAAGUAAAGAUUUAUCGGUACUGGCUGGGGAUGCGUCUGAUUAGCUUGUUGGCGGGGUAACGGCCCACCAAGGCUACGAUCAGUAGGGGUUCUGAGAGGAAGGGCCCCCACAUUGGAACUGAGACACGGUCCAAACUCCUACGGGAGGCAGCAGUGAGGAAUAUUGGUCAAUGGACGGAAGUCUGAACCAGCCAAGUAGCGUGCAGGAUGACGGCCCGAUGGGUUGUAAACUGCUUUUGUAUGGGGAUAAAGUUAGGGACGUGUCCCUAUUUGCAGGUACCAUACGAAUAAGGACCGGCUAAUUCCGUG